AUUGAACGCUGGCGGCAUGCCUUACACAUGCAAGUCGAACGGCAGCACGGGAGCAAUCCUGGUGGCGAGUGGCGAACGGGUGAGUAAUAUAUCGGAACGUGCCCAGUCGUGGGGAUAACGUAGCGAAAGCUACGCUAAUACCGCAUACGAUCUAUGGAUGAAAGCGGGGGAUCGCAAGACCUCGCGCGAUUGGAGCGGCCGAUAUCAGAUUAGGUAGUUGGUGAGGUAAAGGCUCACCAAGCCGACGAUCUGUAGCUGGUCUGAGAGGACGACCAGCCACACUGGGACUGAGACACGGCCCAGACUCCUACGGGAGGCAGCAGUGGGGAAUUUUGGACAAUGGACGCAAGUCUGAUCCAGCCAUUCCGCGUGCAGGAUGAAGGCCCUCGGGUUGUAAACUGCUUUUGUACGGAACGAAAGGUUUCUAUUAAUACUAGGAGCUCAUGACGGUACCGUAAGAAUAAGCACCGGCUAACUACGU
rnacentral:rRNA from 1 species